GUGCUCACUUCGGCAGCAUAUACACUGAAAUUGGAAUAGUACAAAGAAGAUCAGCAUCGUCCUUGUGUACAAACGGCACACAAAUUCAUGAAGCAUUCCAUAGUUUU
rnacentral:snRNA from 1 species